CAUUACCAAACGGCCUCUCUAGGCCUUGGACCUUGUCAACCCGUGGAAGAUGAAAUGUGCCUCGGCGCAGCCCGGUCAUCCCCGGGGGCGCCGCCCUUUAUGCUCAAAUCAGUCUUUGAGUCUGAAUAUGAAACAAGAGUCAAAACUUUCAACAAAGGAUCUCUUGGCUCUCGCAUCGAUGAAGAACGCAGCGAAGCGCGAAAUGUAGUGUGAAUCGCAGAACAUUGUGAAUCAUCGAGUCUUUGAACGCACAUUGCGCCCCCCUUGACGGGGAGGCAUGCCUGUCUGAGCGUCUUUUAAACCAAUAAACCCGUCCGGGUUUGUGCUGGGCCUCGCCCCCUUGUGGGCGUCGCCUCGAAUGCAUCGGUCUUAAUGAGUGGAUGAGUUCCCUUGGGGACGUGCCAUUCUCUGGACCAGAUAAUCUUCAUCUUGACCUCAGAUCAGGUAGGGACACCGCC
rnacentral:rRNA from 1 species